rnacentral:rRNA from 1 species
GACGAACGCUGGCGGCGUGCUUAACACAUGCAAGUCGAACGAAGAGCGAUGGAAGCUUGCUUCUAUCAAUCUUAGUGGCGAACGGGUGAGUAACGCGUAAUCAACCUGCCCUUCAGAGGGGGACAACAGUUGGAAACGACUGCUAAUACCGCAUACGAUCUAAACUCGGCAUCGAGGAUAGAUGAAAGGUGGCCUCUACAUGUAAGCUAUCACUGAAGGAGGGGAUUGCGUCUGAUUAGCUAGUUGGAGGGGUAACGGCCCACCAAGGCGAUGAUCAGUAGCCGGUCUGAGAGGAUGAACGGCCACAUUGGGACUGAGACACGGCCCAGACUCCUACGGGAGGCAGCAGUGGGGAAUCUUCCGCAAUGGACGAAAGUCUGACGGAGCAACGCCGCGUGAGUGAUGACGGCCUUCGGGUUGUAAAGCUCUGUUAAUCGGGGCGAAAGGCCUUCUUGCGAAUAGUGAGAAGGAUUGACGGUACCGGAAUAGAAAGCCACGGCUAACUACGUG